GACGGAAGGUGCAAGCGUUGCUCGGAAUCACUGGGCGUAAAGGGUGCGUAGGCGGCUUCUUAAGUCCGGUGUGAAAGCCCAGGGCUCAGCCCUGGAAGUGCACUAGAAACUGGGAAGCUUGAGUACCGGAGAGGAUCGUGGAAUUCUCGGUGUAGAGGUGAAAUUCGUAGAUAUCGAGAGGAACACCGGUGGCGAAGGCGGCGAUCUGGACGAUGACUGACGCUGAGACGCGAAAGCGUGGGGAGCAAACAGG
rnacentral:rRNA from 1 species